rnacentral:rRNA from 1 species
UACGUAGGGCGCAAGCGUUGUCCGGAAUUAUUGGGCGUAAAGAGCUCGUAGGCGGUUUGUCGCGUCUGCCGUGAAAGCCCGGGGCUUAACUCCGGGUCUGCGGUGGAUACGGGCAGACUAGAGGCAGGUAGGGGAGAACGGAAUUCCCGGUGUAGCGGUGAAAUGCGCAGAUAUCAGGAGGAACACCGGUGGCGAAGGCGGGUCUCUGGGUAGUAACUGACGCUGAGGAACGAAAGCGUGGGUAGCGAACAGG